GGUUAUGAUGGCAAAGCAUUGUAUAAAGAAAUAGUAUUGACUACACAAGAGUUCAGUGAAGUAUUUUGCAUAGGGAAAGGAGGUUAUGGAAGUGUUUAUAGAGCACAGCUUUCAUCAGGGGAUGUAGUAGCUGUAAAGAGACUUCACAACAUGCCAGAGAUGGCAAGUCAUAGAAGUUUCUUGAAUGAGAUAAGAGCCUUGACAGAAAUCAAGCAUCGAAACAUUGUAAAACUCUUGGGCUUCUGCUCCAAUUCUCAGCACUCAUUUUUGGUUUAUGAGUAUCUUGAAAGAGGGAGUUUGGCCAAAAUCUUGAGCAUAGAAGAAGAAGCUAUUGAACUAGGCUGGCAGAAGAGGUUAAAAAUUAUCAAAGGCAUCGCUCAAGCUUUAUCUUACAUACAUCAUGAUUGUUCACCAGCAAUUGUACAUCGGGACAUAUCAAGCAACAACAUUUUGCUCGAUUCAGAAGACGAAGCUCAUCUGAAUUUCAGAUUUUGGCACUUCUAAGUUUCUGAAAAAAGACUCAUCUAAUUGGAGUUCUCUUGCAGGAACAUGUGGAUAUGUUGCACCAGAAUUUGCCUACACAAUGAAAGUAACUGAAAAGUGUGAUGUUUAUGGCUUUGGGGUCCUGACAAUGGAAGUAAUCAAAGGAAAGCACCCCGGUGACUUGAUUGCUUAUCUAGUGUCUUCAAAGCCCGAGAAAAUAGAACUGAAAGACUUGUUCGAUCAAAGACUUCUGUAUCCCAAUCGAGAAAUUGAAAACAUUCUGGCAUCCGUUCUCAAAGUAGCAAGAGAAUGUCUACAUGUUGAUCCACAAUCUAGGCCAACAAUGCUCUUUAUUUCUAGGUUGUUAUCAACUGGUGCACAAUCUGUGUAACAUAUUGUACAAGACUACGAUGACCAUAUUAAUCAUUUUUCCUAAGUUUUAUGGGUUAAAUAAA